AAAAGAAGUCAAAAGACAUGGAACUCAUCCGUCAGAAGAUGGACCUCACAUUUUCCCUGAGGAGAAAGGAGAUUAUUGAGGUGCAGCCCAAGGUCUCAGAAAUCCAGGAGAGGUGACCUGCCCUGUUUCUUAAGGAGCAGAUUUGCUGGGAGUUUUACCGUGUAGCUACCAAGGAACUGUUGUGGACGUUUAGAGCAGCCCCAGACACUCACUGUGCUUGACUACUCAAACUAUAUCGUGCCAUGGAAAGGGGCCUUUGGACAAGACAUGGAGAGCAUCUUGGAUGUUCUUGAUGAACAGACAUCACAAUGCAUCGAAGGAGAGCAUGUCUAGAAGGUCUGUCUGUCUUUCUCUGUGACAGUUCAGAGAAGAUUUUCCUGAAAUGCCUGGACACUGAUCCAGAAGACAGAGAGACAAAAGGGGUCCAAAUGGGAGUGCUCACCGUGUUUGUGGAUGAUGGUGCACUGGCCUCAAACUGUCAACAACAUUGCAGUGGUGUUGGAGGAGGCUAAUGUGCUCGAAGACAUUCCAGACCUCCCCACUGCCUUUGCUUACCUUUUUGGCCUGCUCUAUGCCUUGAACAUAGAGUUCCCAAAACAUCUAAGGUAUACGUUUGAAGCAGUGCAGCACAUCUUCAUGGAACUUUCCCCCUCUUGCUCACAGCGUGUGCGGAGCCUGAAAACCAAGCUCUUGCAAUACGAAGCCUGACAUUGUCCACACAAAUCUAACUUCAUGAGCCUUUGUAGAGCUGCUUUUCUUAUUUUUUAGUUGUGUUGGCUGGCUUUUGGGCCUGUUUUGCACAGAAAGGACCUGCCCCUGUCAGGG